rnacentral:rRNA from 1 species
CCUACGGGUGGCAGCAGUAGGGAAUUUUUGACAAUGGGCGAAAGUCUGAAGGAGCAAUGCCGCGUGAAGGAUGAAGGUUUUAUAGAUUGUAAAAUUCUUUUAUAUGGGAAGAAAAACUAAAGUAGGAAAUGACUUGAGUCUGACUGUACCAUUUGAAUAAGUAACCGCUAACUAUGUGCCAGCAGCCACGGGAAGACUUAGGAUGCAAUCGUUUUCCGGUUUUACUGGUCGAAAGACGAGCGCAGCGGGGUUACCAAGUUUAGUAUGAAUGGCUUUUGCUUAACGAAAGUUUGUAUCAAAUACUGUUAAUCUAGAGUGUAGUUGCGAGUGCUGGAAU